rnacentral:rRNA from 1 species
UACGUAGGGGGCGAGCGUUGUCCGGAAUCAUUGGGCGUAAAGAGCGUGUAGGCGGGCCGGAAGGUCUGGUGUGAAAGCCCGGGGCUCAACCCCGGAGGGUCACCGGAAACCGACGGUCUUGAAUCUGGAAGAGGAGAGUGGAAUUCCUGGUGUAGCGGUGGAAUGCGCAGAUAUCAGGAGGAACACCAAUUGCGAAGGCAGCUCGCUGGGACGUUACUGACGCUGAGACGCGAAAGCGUGGGGAGCAAACAGG